CUGCACUCUGAAGCUAGAGAGCCUAGUUUGACUCCCGGCCUGGCUACCACUCAUUAUUUGAAAUACAGUGAGAUAUUUAAAUGUUCUGGGAAUCAGUUUUCCCAACUACACAACCCAUAGUGGUGCUACAUGGAUGAGGGAGAUGAGGUAAUAUACAUAAGUAAUGAUGGUACAAAUAGGAAGUGCUAAGUUAUUUUAGGCAUUAUAAUUUUUAAUGUAAAUAAUGACUCAUAUAAAACAAAGUUGGUCUAUGUUUUAUGAAUUUUUUAUGCCAUUGAUAGAUUUUGGUACCUCAAGAUGCAUUCAUUGAAAAAAACCCACACUUUUGUGAAAUUGAAGAUAUUGAUUUAGCAGGGAUUGCGGAAGAAAGAGAAAGUAGAGUUUAUUCAUAAAGAAAUAUAUUUGACUGCCUGUCAUUGUUUCACCUGGGUUUCUCCUGUAGAGAUCACCUUAUCUUCAAAUAAUUGGAGACAGAAGAGAAAGUCAAGCCUUCAAAAUGGCAUUCGUUCUGCAACAAAUGUUUCAAGGGGCAUUAUAUGACCUGCCCUGUUGGCCUAGGCUAACCAGCCAAAAUUCUAAUGAUUCCGAGGGGACGGACUGUAGCAGCCAUGAAAAUAAGUUACUGGAACUUCCCACUGUGAGAAGCAUGAUUUGCUAAGAUUUCCAGCUGCUGCUUCUCUGGAUUAACCACUGCAUUCCAGCUGAUGCCCCACUUCUGGUGAGCUGCUGCCAGGUAAUGCCUGAGCAUUGUACUGGUACUUACUGAAGCAGGCCCAUUGGCGUGAGGUGUGGUCUUCCUUUUUGGACAACAUUGG
rnacentral:lncRNA from 1 species